rnacentral:ncRNA from 1 species
GUAACGGAGGCUCGCAAAGGUACCCUCAGUACGGUUGGUAAUCGUACGUAGAGCGCAUUAGUAUAAGGGUGCUUGACUGUGAGGCUGACCAGCCGAGCAGGUGCGAAAGCAGGCUAAAGUGAUCCGGCGGUUCUGUAUGGAAGGGCCGUCGCUCAAAGGAUAAAAGGUACUCCGGGGAUAACAGGCUGAUCUCCCCCAAGAGCUCAUAUCGACGGGGAGGUUUGGCACCUCGAUGUCGGUUCGUCACAUCCUGGGGCUGGAGAAGGUCCCAAGGGUUCGGCUGUUCGCCGAUUAAAGUGGCACGUGAACUGGGUUCAGAACGUCGCAAGACAGUUCGGUCUCUAUCUGUGGUGGGCGUUAGUAAAUUGCGGGACAUGACCUUAGUACGAGAGGACCGGAGUCGUAUGUACCGCUGGUGUAUCUGUUGUGCCGCCAGGUGCAGUGCAGAGUAGCUAUGUACAGCAGGAUAAGCGCUGAAAGCAUCUAAGCGCGAAACCUUCCUCAAGAUGAGUUUACUUUUAAGGGCCGUCAAAGACUAUGACGUUGAUAGGCUACAGGUGUAAAGGUGGUAACAUCAAAGCCGAGUAGUACUAAUUGCACGUAAGCUUUAACUUU